rnacentral:tRNA from 1 species
AAGAGUUUAGUUUAAUUUUAAAACGUUAGAUUGUAAAUCUAAAAAUAUUUUGCUCUUGAUUAUUCUUG